rnacentral:rRNA from 1 species
GGACCCGCACAAGUAGUGGAGCAUGUGGUUUAAUUCGAAGAUACGCGCAGAACCUUACCAACACUUGACAUGUUCGUCGCGGCUCUAAGAGAUUAGAGCUUUCGGUUCGGCCGGACGAAACACAGGUGCUGCAUGGCUGUCGUCAGCUCGUGUCGUGAGAUGUUGGGUUAAGUCCCGCAACGAGCGCAACCCUCACUUUUAGUUGCCAUCAUUUAGUUGGGCACUCUGAAAGAACUGCCAGUGAUAAGCUGGAGGAAGGUGGGGAUGACGUCAAGUCCUCAUGGCCCUUACGUGUUGGGCUACACACGUGCUACAAUGGCAUUUACAAUAGGAAGCAAGAUGGCGACGUCAAGCAAAUCCUAAAAAGAUGCCUCAGUUCGGAUUGUACUCUGCAACUCGAGUACAUGAAGCUGGAAUUACUAGUAAUCG